rnacentral:rRNA from 1 species
UGGGGAAUUUUGGACAAUGGGCGAAAGCCUGAUCCAGCAAUGCCGCGUGUGUGAAGAAGGCCUUCGGGUUGUAAAGCACUUUUGUCCGGAAAGAAAUGGCUCUGGUUAAUACCUGGGGUCGAUGACGGUACCGGAAGAAUAAGGACCGGCUAACUACGUGCCAGCAGCCGCGGUAAUACGUAGGGUCCAAGCGUUAAUCGGAAUUACUGGGCGUAAAGCGUGCGCAGGCGGUUGUGCAAGACCGAUGUGAAAUCCCCGAGCUUAACUUGGGAAUUGCAUUGGUGACUGCACGGUCUAGAGUGUGUCAGAGGGGGUAGAAUUCCACGUGUAGCAGUGAAAUGCGUAGAGAUGUGGAGGAAUACCGAUGGCGAAGGCAGCCCCCUGGGAUAACACUGACGCUCAUGCACGAAAGCGUGGGGAGCAAACAGGAUUAGAUACCCUGGUAGUCCACGCCCUAAACGAUGUCAACUAGUUGUUGGGGAUUCAUUUCCUUAGUAACGUAGCUAACGCGUGAAGUUGACCGCCUGGGGAGUACGGUCGCAAG